rnacentral:rRNA from 1 species
AUCGAAUAUAUGUUGCUAAGGAAAGCCCUUCGGGGCCUACCGACCCACAUAUUACUAGAUUAGCGAUGGAGUAACGGAGAAGGAUAGAUGAACCCAGGCGAUGGUUGUCCUGGGGUAAGUGUGUAGGGUAGUUAAUAGGCAAAUCCGUUAACUGUAAACCUGAGACACGAGUCCGAGCCGCUUUUUAGGCGAAGUCAUUAAUUCCAUACUUCCAAGAAAAACUUCUAGUUAGUUUUAUUAGUGCCCGUACCCCAAACCGACACAGGUGGACAAGUAGAGAAUACUAAGGCGAGCGAGAGAACUCUGGUUAAGGAACUCGGCAAAAUAGUUCCGUAACUUCGGGAGAAGGAACGCCCAAGUAAAGUGAUUAAUUAACUUUAUAAGCUUGAACGGGCCGCAGUGAUCAGACUCAAGCGACUGUUUAUCAAAAACACAGGAGGGUGCAAAGUUCGAAUACAACGUAUACCCUCUGACACCUGCCCGGUGCUGGAAGGUUAAGUGGAGAGGUUAGCUUCGGCGAAGCUUUGAAAUUAAGCCCCAGUAAACGGCGGCCGUAACUAUAACGGUCCUAAGGUAGCGAAAUUCCUUGUCGGGUAAGUUCCGACCUGCACGAAUGGUGUAACGAUUUGAGUACUGUCUCAACCAGAGACUCGGCGAAAUUGCAAUGUGAGUAAAGAUGCUCACUAUGCGCGACAGGACGGAAAGACCCCGGAACCUUUACUGCAACUUGAUAUUGAAUGUUGGUGUGCAGUAUGCAGGAUAAGUGGGAGACUUUGAAACAAUCACGCUAGUGGUUGUGGAGUCAUCCUUGAGAUACCACUUUCUUCAUAUUGACCUUCUAACCUAGAUCCGUUAUCCGGAUCAGGACAUUGUCUGGUAGGCAGUUUCACUGGGGCGGUGGCCUCCUAAAAAGUAACGGAGGCGCUCAAAGGUCACCUCAGCGUGGACGGCAAUCACGCAUUGAGUGUAAGUGCAAAAGGUGGCUUGACUGUGACACAAACAAGUGAAGCAGGUACGAAAGUAGGAACUAGUGAUCCCAUGGUUGCAUGUGGGUGCGCCAUGGCUCAUCGGCUAAAAGGUACUCCGGGGAUAACAGGCUUAUACCCCCCAAGAGUCCAUAUCGACGGGGGUGUUUGGCACCUCGAUGUCGGCUCUUCUCAUCCUGGGGCUGGAGCAGGUCCCAAGGGUUAGGCUGUUCGCCUAUUAAAGAGGAACGCGAGCUGGGUUCAGAACGUCGUGAGACAGUUCGGUCCCUAUCCGUCGCGCACGUAAGAAAUUUGAAGAAAGUUGUCCCUAGUACGAGAGGACCGGGAUGAACGAUCCGCUGGUGUGCCAGUUGUUCUGCCAAGAGCACGGCUGGUUAGCUACGAUCGGAGAGGAUAAGCACUGAAA